rnacentral:rRNA from 1 species
AACGAACGCUGGCGGCAGGCCUAACACAUGCAAGUCGAGCGAGGACUUCGGUCCUAGCGGCGGACGGGUGAGUAACGCGUGGGAACGUGCCCCUUGGUACGGAAUAGCCCCGGGAAACUGGGAGUAAUACCGUAUGAGCUCUACGGAGGAAAGAUUUAUCGCCAAGGGAUCGGCCCGCGUUGGAUUAGGUAGUUGGUGGGGUAAUGGCCUACCAAGCCGACGAUCCAUAGCUGGUUUGAGAGGAUGAUCAGCCACACUGGGACUGAGACACGGCCCAGACUCCUACGGGAGGCAGCAGUGGGGAAUAUUGGACAAGGGGCGCAAGCCUGAUCCAGCCAUGCCGCGUGAGUGAUGAAGGCCUUAGGGUUGUAAAGCUCUUUCAGUGGGGACGAUAAUGACGGUACCCACAGAAGAAGCCCCGGCUAACUUCGUGCCAGCCGCCGCCGUAACAC